UUCCGACAGCUUGCUGCCCUAGACCAGAGUUGGUGGCUGGACCUCCUGCGACUUCCGAGUUGCGAUGCUGUACUUCUCUUUGUUUCGGGCGGCUCGGCCUCUGCAGAGAUGUGGGCAGCUGGUCAGGAUGGCCAUUCGGGCUCAGCACAGCAACGCAGCCCAGACUCAGACUGGGGAAGCAAACAGGGGCUGGACAGGCCAGGAGAGCCUGUCGGACAGUGAUCCUGAGAUGUGGGAGUUGCUGCAGAGGGAGAAGGACAGGCAGUGUCGUGGCCUGGAGCUCAUUGCCUCAGAGAACUUCUGCAGCCGAGCUGCGCUGGAGGCCCUGGGGUCCUGUCUGAACAACAAGUACUCGGAGGGUUAUCCUGGCAAGAGGUGAGGGCUGGAGGGCAGUGUCAGGGAUGGUGCUCCCAGUGGGGGAACCCACCUGUACCUUCCCAGUGUUCAUUGAGGAGUGAACUUCCCAGUCCUUUGCUGAUGGUUGAGAGUCCUUUCUCUGUGCCCUCAUUACCCCUCUCCCACGGCAGAUACUAUGGGGGAGCAGAGGUGGUGGAUGAAAUUGAGCUUCUGUGCCAGCACCGGGC
rnacentral:sRNA from 1 species